UACGUAGGUGGCAAGCGUUGUCCGGAUUUACUGGGCGUAAAGAGCGCGCAGGCGGUCGUACAAGUCGCGUGUGAAAGCCCCCGGCUCAACUGGGGAGGUCACGCGAUACUGUUCGACUCGAAGGCAGGAGAGGGAAGCAGAAUUCCCGGUGUAGUGGUGAAAUGCGUAGAUAUCGGGAGGAAUACCAGUGGCGAAGGCGGCUUCCUGGCCUGUUCUUGACGCUGAGGCGCGAAAGCUAGGGUAGCAAACGGG
rnacentral:rRNA from 1 species